UCCUACUUCUCCCGGCAGCCUCUAGCAAACACAUCCAGGGAGAGAGCGUGCUGUGAUGUGAGUUCAAGGCCAUCCUGCUCUACACAGAUACUGCUGGGAUGUUAAAUGCGCACACUCCCAGUGCCCAGGGCAUGACCACCACACCGUUAC